rnacentral:lncRNA from 1 species
CAGAACCAGGACCGUUUUUUAAAUCACCAGCACAGAGUCAGGACAAUUUCGUUUAGCGAACUUGCACGACUUUUGCAAUAAAAUAUUGUUGUAAUAUGCUUUUUAUGGUACUUAUGACGUAUCAGAGAAAAAUUAAGCAACAGAACGGUUGUUUUAUUGCCAUUCUGAUACAAUGUAAACAAACCCACCAGCACAGAAUCAGGACCCACCAGCACCAGUCAGGACCGAAUCACCAGCACAGAACGUUCUCUCGCAGGAC